GAUGAAGAACGCAGCGAAAUGCGAUAAGUAAUGUGAAUUGCAGAAUUCAGUGAAUCAUCGAAUCUUUGAACGCACCUUGCGCCCUUUGGCUAUUCCGAAGGGCAUGCCUGUUUGAGUAUCGUGAACACCUCAACUCUCAUGGUUUGCCAUGAUGAGCUUGGACUUUGGGGGUUUUGCUGGCCUUUGGUCGGCUCCUCUCAAACGGAUCAGCUUUCCAGUGUUUGGUGGCGUCACGGGUGUGAUAACUAUCUACGCCCGUGGUUUUCUGCCAGAUAACCUUCAGCGAUGGAGGUUCGCUGGGGCUCAUAAAUGUCUCUCUUCAGUGGAGACAGCUUUUUGGACGUUUGAUCUCAAAUCAGGUAGGACUACCCGCUGAACUUAAGCAUAUCAAUAAGCGGAGGA
rnacentral:misc_RNA from 1 species